CCUGCACCUAGAGGCACUGCAGGUACAGCUGCUGUGCUAUAUGUGUGCCAGUAGGUGGCAGAGAGGAGAGAUGCUAUGUCUAAGCUCGGUGUCUGACCAGUGAAUGGCUGAGUGGUUAGUAGCCUAACAUU
rnacentral:snoRNA from 1 species